UGUGGCUGCAACCUGCUGCCUCCCAAAAUCCAAAUAAUCAUCUCCUUUCCCUGCAGAGCUAAACGGGAGUCUAGGGUUUGUGACUCAUGCAUCCUGUUUUCAGCAGUGCCACUUAUAUGCUGAAAAAGCCCUGGAAAGUAUUUCACUGAGGUUGUGACCCAAUUUUCUCCCCAUAGAAAGGGAAUAAUAUCGUGGGCCAAACUGUCUCACAGAGGUGUUCUCUGGCUUCAGUGUUUACAAGUCCUUUGGAGUCUUAGUUAUGGGAAAGACAAUGUAUUGCUUCUUCAUCCAAAACUGAAGGUCAAAGUUGUGGAAAUAUUCCUUGUUUCACUGCCUGAAUUAGAUUUACAGAAGAACUCUUGGUGAACCAUUUUUUAACACAAGAAAAAUGGGCUACUUUCAGUGUUCUUCAAACUGGGAUCUUCCAAAUCACCCCAGAAAUCACACCAUGAUGUUCUGGAGAAGUCUUGAGUGAUUUAUGGAGAGAUAGUGAAGCAGGCAGUUUUUUCUCAACUCAGACUGUCAGGAUUGUGUCUGUAGCAGAACACAAUGAGCCAGGGAUGGUUCUUUGGCCUGGAGAACAAAGAGCAUGGCAUGACUCAGCCAUGGGGCUGAGCUCAGCCUCCUCCCCUCCCAAAGAGCCAAGACACCUUGGCCAUGCUGCCUGGUGGAAACAAUUGACCUUUGCUAUCUCUCAGACCAUGCUGAAGCAAAUCUGAGAGAGGAGAAGCUGGCAAGAGCCAAACCCAUGUUUGUGAGCAGGCUAGUAAUGGUGUGGGCAGCACUGACCAGGCUUGUGCUCUGGUCCAUAUCAUUUAUCAAUAUAGACAGGACCCAUGCAGGGUGUUUAGCUUUCCCUGAGAACUCAUCCCAGGGAAUGUGGAGGAAUCUUUAGGAACUGGUGCAUUCCAUUGUUCUACCUCUGAGUGGUUUAGGAGGAUGUGGAUUAUGUACAUCCUGUGAUGUAAUGGCAGCUAACCCAGUAGUCUUUGGUGGAGUUGUGGGAAUGUUCCAGUUCUGAUGCUUUAUCCGGGAGAAAUUUUGCAACAUUAGGCUUCUAUAGGCAACCACCACUUGUCUGUGGGUUAUGAAUGAUGCUCGCAAGGAUGAAUGCCUGAUGCUGCACCCAGCUGGGUGAAUGUGAAUCAGGUGCAGCUCAGGAGGACUCUUCUGGCUGAAGGCAGAGGGAGGCCCAAAGAGAGGUCACUGGAUUAGGAGAGGCUGGGAGACUUCCAAGGUACCUGGCAGGAUGCAUCCUUAGGAAACAAUAAUAGAACUGGGGAUUACAAAGCCUUUGCAGGCAUUACAGAGAAGUGGCAACACAGGAAAGUGAUCCAGGGGCGGGCACUUGUGUAACGUGAGUGGAAGUUAUUCAACAUUCCUUGAGGAAGCACAGCACCAGCACAGCUCAGUAUCAAGACAAAUAUCCCUGUCAAGCUGAAAGGGAAGAUAAUGCUGGUUGCCAUUUUGUAUUGUUUCUCUUUGUGAAGUUUUGCUGAUUUUGCUUUCCCCAGCCUGCCUUUGAAAUAACAGCACAACUAAAAAUAACCUCACAUUUGGGCCUUAAAAUGUCUCCGUGACACAGGGUCAAACAAUAAUGGGCAUUUCCUACUCUAUAACCUUUGUAGCAGGCAGAAGGAAAAGUGUUCAAAAGGGGCAUUGCUGCAGGGGUCAACCUGAAACAUUUGACCCUGAACUAGUUUAGUUCCUAAAUUCUCCAUCCAGGAGAAGGUCUGUGGAAGCCUGUGAGACACCAGUUUUCUGUAAGCUGAAUUUCCCUCUGUGCUAUUUAUAACUGUUCCCAUGUUUCACUGUGUAAUAGCAGUGUUUGCAAAUGCCUGUGCAAUUAAACCCUUCCCAGCUGUGUUCUGGGAGCUGGGUCCUGGAAAACAGAGCCCACGAUGCAGAAAGGCCUCAUCAGCCUGAAGAGUUUUGGUCUGUUAAUUGCUGAUAUCCACUGGAGUGGCUUGGUGUCAGAAUGCCUGUGGUCUGAUCCACGGCCCUGCUGCUGGGCUGGGUGGAGUUUAGAGGGACUCACUGCACUUGUGAACCUCAGUUUACCACUAGGAUACUGAAAUGGUGGGAAAUCUCUCUUAAAUCACAUUUCUCAUAAUUUUACACUGGGUCUCUUUGGAAUUGAAAAGCCAUUGAGGAGUCAUUCUGUUCUUCUCUUUUGGGGGUACAUACCACAUAUAUUUUUUAUACACUGGUCUCUCAUCAGAAAUUAAUUGCAAAAAGAAUGCUUUGUUAUACCCUCACCAGUACAUCAGUCAGUGUUCAAUAGCUCUGGCAUUUUUAAGUGAUUCCUGUGCUUUCUCAAUAGAAUACUCCUCUUUUCCUGCUUCUGACUGUGGAAAAAGUGAAUUCAAGGACGAUAUUAAACAAUGCACCUAAAAUACUGAUCUUUCCUCUCUCCUCUCUGUACAGAGGUCUCUUGAAAUGAAAACUAUUUUCUGUCCGUGCUUUCUCUUUAAUCUUUGAGUACUGAAUUUAUUGGUUCCCUCAGUAGUAUGCACAAGCCUAACUCCCCAGUCUGCCCACAGCUACUGCCUUUGAGCCCUUCAGAGGCUCUACCUUCAACCUAGUAUUUUACUUUGGAGACCCUGCAUGACUUGGAGAUACUCUUCCCUCUUGGCUUAUCAUAAAAGUGAUUCUUCCCACUCAUUCUCUUGUAUUUUCUUGCUGCUUCAUCUGGAAUGCAAAUAUGUACCAGGAGCCCAAACCUUCCUUUGAAUUCCCCAGUAUCACACAAAGGGUGGUCAGAAUUGGUUUUCAGUGGAUAAUGAAGUUUUCGACUACUGACAUUUUUUGUAGAAAAUGUUAUGAAAUCUGCAUGGCUCCAUCUUUUACAUGAAAAACUAAGAAACCAAAGAAUGAAAUUUUUCUGGGCCAGAAGGAGAAAAAAACCUAAACAAACCAACAAACAAAUCCUUGAGGCUUGAAGGGUUUGUUUCUUCUCCAAACCAACAUUUCUUCUCUUUGCUUUCAUGGAUAUGUUUUUUCUGUCUAUAUUUUUACUUAGACCUGUGUGGGACAUGUUUUGUUAAGGCUUCAACAUGUAGUUCAGGUCAAAAGGGAGUCACUGACCACUGCUGCAUUUCUGCAGAUUAUUCUGUUUAACUUCUCAGUCACUACGUGUGCCAGGAUGUGAAUUAAUCCAUGCUAAAGCACUUCAGGUUCCCUCAAGUGUAAAAGCAUCCAUGGAAAUCCAAACUCUUCUGUUCCCUGGUGAUCAGCAUUGAAAAAUGCAAGGAGUCUAGUGGGAUUUAAGUGAUUUAUGAAAUAUAAACCCUGAUACCCUGCGGUGUGAAUGGAACACAUUGUCUCAGUCUUGGGGGCACGAGGAACACAGCUCUGCAUGUUUUGGCAGUACAAGGAGAGAGGGAUGGAGCUGAUCCCCAGCUCACCUCCCAAACUGAGAUCUGCAGGGCUGUGGGGAGGAAACACUGAAACAAGCAGCCCCAUGCAAC